rnacentral:rRNA from 1 species
CUUCGGAGGUACUCGAGUGGCGAACGGGUGAGUAACACGUGGGUGAUCUGCCCUGCACUCUGGGAUAAGCCUGGGAAACUGGGUCUAAUACCGGAUAGGACCAUGCUUUAGUGUGUGUGGUGGAAAGUUUUUUCGGUGUAGGAUGAGCCCGCGGCCUAUCAGCUUGUUGGUGGGGUAAGGGCCUACCAAGGCGGCGACGGGUAGCCGGACUGAGGGGUUGGUCGGCCACAUUGGGACUGAGAUACGGCCCAG